rnacentral:lncRNA from 1 species
AGGAAGCUGCCUGCAAACCCAGGUAGCUUUUCUGACUCUUUAAGAGGUCUUGAGCAUUCUUGCAGAGACACACCAACCAAAAGUAUAGUCAUCCGGGAAGAGAAGAGCCUGAGAGAAAAAUAACACUUGGACUGGCAUCAGGAGGCUAGUGUCUGGAUGUUGUUGAUGUACUGCAAGGAGAAGCAGACUAAACUAGAUAGUGCCAGUGGAGUUCAGAGCAGCCACCAGUCUGGCACCAUUCUUUGACACCAAGUCCCCUGAAAAUCACCAUGCACAUCCAUUGGAGCCUUCUUCAGGAUUCCAGCUUAUUCAGAAGACAGGGUGAAACUCCCAGCCUCCUGAGACUGAGAAACUACUAGAUUCUUGGACUUUCCAUUCACAGAUGGCCAUUAUUGGGCUAGUUGGACUGCAACCUGUCCAUCCCAUGGACACUUCCUGCUGUGCAGCUUUCUCCACACCAUAGGAAUCAUUACUCUGACUUCACUGGCUGGGAUCUGGGGACACAGUGUUCACAGUCUCAUUCUGAAAUCCCUUGUUUGUCCCAAUUGUCUGUUAGGAUGUGGGGAUCUCGCUUGUUCCAUGAGAAAUGGCAGAGGCUUUUCCUAUAAAAGUAGCACACAAGACGACAGCAUAAUCUAUGAAAUCAAUAUUCUGUCCAUGUGAGGUUUGUAACUUUUAGUACCACUUUGAAUUAAUGAUGUUCAAUGAACAGUUUAAAACUUUAUAAUAAAUUGAAUUUUAAGACAUGUCUGAUACUAUUCAUUAUGAUAUACUCUUAAAUGUUGGAGUCAUUCAAUUAAUUGAGUCAUUCAACAGUUUUUGUAUCUGCUCACGCCAGUGAGUAGGGUGGGGUUAUUUUGUUCUACUUGAAUGAAAAUCAUAACAGAAAAGCAGUAUUUAUAGUCCUGCACCCUUGACUGCCACAGGCUUAUGGGCUGGGCUGACAGACUCAGUCUUACAUGCUUAUGGUUUCAUGUUUAAGAAGCCAGAGACAUGCAGGGCCGUGUGUUUAGGUUAGAAAGCUUACUAUUCUGGGCUGUGUGGCCGCCAGUUGCCCAGUCCUAGGAAGCUGGGCAACAGCCCCC